CCGCACAAGCAGCGGAGCGUGUGGUUUAAUUCGUUGCUACGCGAAAAACCUUACCCAGGUUUGACAUACAGGUAGUAGGAAUCCGAGAGGUGACCGACCCUUCGGGGAGCCUGUACAGGUGCUGCAUGGCUGUCGUCAGCUCGUGUCGUGAGAUGUCCGGUUAAGUCCGGCAACGAGCGCAACCCUUGUCGCAUGUUACAAGUGUCAUGCGAGACCGCUGGUAUAAAGCCGGAGGAAGGUGAGGAUGACGUCAAGUCAGCAUGGCCUUUAUAUCUGGGGCUACACACACGCUACAAUGGCCGGUACAAUGGGUCGCAAAACCGCAAGGUGGAGCCAAUCCUCAAAGCCGGUCUCAGUUCAGAUUGUAGGCUGCAACCCGCCUACAUGAAGUCGGAGUUGCUAGUAAACGCGCGUCAGCAUUAGUGCGUUGAAUACGUUCCCGGGGAUUGUACACACCGCCCGU
rnacentral:rRNA from 1 species